AUGGGAAGGGUCCCUUUUUCCCCUCUGCUUUUCCUGCAGUGACGCAAUGUGAUCCAUCGGCAAGGAGGGACACCAAUGGAAGCCCUUUUGAUCUUGACCAGAUGAAGUUUUGCUAACUGCAUCCAGAGGCCUCAUCAAAAGUAAUGCAAAGAUAGCAACUGACUAUCCAAAGGAGAAGGGAUGGAUUUUUCAGGUGCUCACUAUAACAAGCUUUUGGAGACUCUGUCUUUGGGGUGAGUCAAAUGGAGAAGUGGAAAACAUACUGAGAGACUAGAGACUCCUCUGGUCCAGCUCAUCUUUCAUCUCUGGCGAUCUGCAAGGGUCCAAGGACAAUAUGAAGCAACUGGGAGGUGAGCAG
rnacentral:lncRNA from 1 species